GAUGAACGCUGGCGGCGUGCCUAAUACAUGCAAGUCGAGCGAACGGACGAGAAGCUUGCUUCUCUGAGGUUAGCGGCGGACGGGUGAGUAACACGUGGAUAACCUACCUAUAAGACUGGGAUAACUUCGGGAAACCGGAGCUAAUACCGGAUGAUAUUUUGAACCUCAUGGUUCAAAAGUGAAAGACGGUCUUGCUGUCACUUAUAGAUGGAUCCGCGCUGCAUUAGCUAGUUGGUAAGGUAACGGCUUACCAAGGCAACGAUGCAUAGCCGACCUGAGAGGGUGAUCGGCCACACUGGAACUGAGACACGGUCCCGACUCCUACGGGAGGCAGCAGUAGGGAAUCCUCCGCAAUGGGCGAAAGCCUGACGGAGCAACGCCGCGUGAGUGAUGAAGGUCUUCGGAUCGUAAAACUCUGUUAUUAGGGAAGAACAUAUGUGUAAGUAACUGUGCACAUCUUGACGGUACCUAAUCAGAAAGCCACGGCUAACUACGUG
rnacentral:rRNA from 1 species